rnacentral:rRNA from 1 species
UCCCAGACUCCUACGGGAGGCAGCAGUGGGGAAUAUUGGGCAAUGGGCGAAAGCCUGACCCAGCAACGCCGCGUGAAGGAAGAAGGCUUUCGGGUUGUAAACUUCUUUUGACAGGGAAGAGCAGAAGACGGUACCUGUCGAAUAAGCCACGGCUAACUACGUGCCAGCAGCCGCGGUAAUACGUAGGUGGCAAGCGUCGUCCGGAUUUACUGGGUGUAAAGGGCGUGUAGCCGGGAAGGCAAGUCAGAUGUGAAAUCUGGAGGCUCAACCUCCAAAUUGCAUUUGAAACUGUUUUUCUUGAGUACUGGAGAGGCAGACGGAAUUCCUUGUGUAGCGGUGAAAUGCGUAGAUAUAAGGAGGAACACCAGUGGCGAAGGCGGUCUGCUGGACAGCAACUGACGGUGAGGCGCGAAAGCGUGGGGAGCAAACAGGAUUAGAUACCCGCGUAU